rnacentral:rRNA from 1 species
GCCAGACUCCUACGGGAGGCAGCAGUGGGGAAUAUUGCACAAUGGGGGAAACCCUGAUGCAGCGGCGCCGCGUGAGUGAAGAAGUAUUUCGGUAUGUAAAGCUCUAUCAGCAGGGAAGAAAAUGACGGUACCUGAUUAAGAAGCCCCGGCUAACUACGUGCCAGCAGCCGCGGUAAUACGUAGGGGGCAAGCGUUAUCCGGAUUUACUGGGUGUAAAGGGAGCGUAGACGGUGAUGCAAGUCAGAAGUGAAAGCCCGGGGCUCAACUCCGGGACUGCUUUUGAAACUGUGUAACUGGAGUGCAGGAGAGGUAAGCGGAAUUCCUGGUGUAGCGGUGAAAUGCGUAGAUAUCAGGAGGAACACCAGUGGCGAAGGCGGCUUACUGGACUGUAACUGACGUUGAGGCUCGAAAGCGUGGGGAGCAAACAGGAUUAGAUACCCGAGUA